AGGGACUUAGGUUAAUACUAGACCAAGGGCCUUCAAAGCCCUAAACGGGAGUGAGAAUCUGCCAGCCCCUG
rnacentral:tRNA from 1 species